UCGAGAAUCUUCGGCAAUGGGCGCAAGCCUGACCGAGCGAUGCCGCGUGCGGGAUGAAGGCCUUCGGGUUGUAAACCGCUGUCAGAGGGGGUGAAAUACGUCGGGGGUUCUCCCCCGGGUUUGACAUAUCCUCAGAGGAAGGACGGGCUAAGUUCGUGCCAGCAGCCGCGGUAAGACGAACCGUCCAAACGUUAUUCGGAAUUACUGGGCUUAAAGGGUGCGUAGGCGGCCUGACAAGUUGGGUGUGAAAUACCUCGGCUCAACCGAGGAAUGGCGCUCAAAACUGUAAGGCUAGAGGAAGAUAGAGGUGAGCGGAACUUAAGGUGGAGCGGUGAAAUGCGUUGAUAUCUUAAGGAACACCCGUGGCGAAAGCGGCUCACUGGAUCUUUUCUGACGCUGAUGCACGAAAGCUAGGGGAGCAAACGG
rnacentral:rRNA from 1 species